rnacentral:rRNA from 1 species
UGGGGAAUUUUGGACAAUGGGGGAAACCCUGAUCUAGCCAUCCCGCGUGUGCGAUGAAGGCCUUCGGGUUGUAAAGCACUUUUGGCAGGAAAGAAACGUCAUGGGUUAAUACCCCGUGAAACUGACGGUACCUGCAGAAUAAGCACCGGCUAACUACGUGCCAGCAGCCGCGGUAAUACGUAGGGUGCAAGCGUUAAUCGGAAUUACUGGGCGUAAAGCGUGCGCAGGCGGUUCGGAAAGAAAGAUGUGAAAUCCCAGAGCUCAACUUUGAAACUGCAUUUUUAACUACCGGGCUAGAGUGUGUCAGAGGGAGGUGGAAUUCCGCGUGUAGCAGUGAAAUGCGUAGGUAUGCGGAGGAACACCGAUGGCGAAGGCAGCCUCCUGGGAUAACACUGACGCUCAUGCACGAAAGCGUGGGGAGCAAACAGG